rnacentral:rRNA from 1 species
GUACCUACGGGGCGCAGCAGCGGGGGAUAUUGCACAAUGGGGGAAACCCUGAUGCAGCGAUGCCGCGUGAGUGAAGACGGCCUUCGGGUUGUAAAGCUCUGUCGCAGGGGACGAAAAUGACGGUACCCUGCAAGAAAGCUCCGGCUAACUACGUGCCAGCAGACGCGGUAAUACGUAGGGAGCAAGCGUUGUCCGGAAUUACUGGGUGUAAAGGGAGCGUAGGCGGGAGGAUAAGUUGAAUGUGAAAUAAACGGGCUCAACCCAUGGCUGCGUUCAAAACUGUUCUUCUUUAGUGAAGUAG